AUGAACGCUGGCGGCAGGCCUAACACAUGCAAGUCGAACGGAGUUAUAUUGUAGCUUGCUAUGGUAUAACUUAGUGGCAGACGGGUGAGUAAUGUAUAGGAAUCUACCUAGUAGUACGGAAUAAUUGUUGGAAACGGCAACUAAUACCGUAUACGCCCUACGGGGGAAAAAUUUAUUGCUAUUAGAUGAGCCUAUAUUAGAUUAGCUAGUUGGUGGAGUAAUAGCCUACCAAGGCAAUGAUCUAUAGCUGAUCUGAGAGGAUGAUCAGCCACACUGGAACUGAGAUACGGUCCAGACUCCUACGGGAGGCAGCAGUGGGGAAUAUUGGACAAUGGGCGAAAGCCUGAUCCAGCCAUGCCGCAUGAGUGAAGAAGGCCUUUGGGUUGUAAAGCUCUUUUAGUGAGGAAGAUAAUGACGGUACUCACAGAAGAAGUCCUGGCUAACUCCGUGCCAGCAGCCGCGGUAAUACGGAGAGGGCUAGCGUUAUUCGGAAUUAUUGGGCGUAAAGGGCGCGUAGGCGGAUUAGUAAGUUAAAAGUGAAAUCCCAAGGCUCAACCUUGGAAUUGCUUUUAAAACUGCUAAUCUAGAGAUUGAGAAG
rnacentral:rRNA from 1 species